UGGGGUGUAGCCAAGUGGUAAGGCAACGGUUUUUGGUACCGCGUACCGUAGGUUCGAAUCCUACCACCCCAG
rfam:Ruegeria sp. ZGT118 contig_11, whole genome shotgun sequence.